UACGAAGGGGGACUAGCGUUGUUCGGAAUCACUGGGCGUAAAGCGCACGUAGGCGGAUUUGUAAGUCAGGGGUGAAAUCCCGGGGCUCAACCUCGGAACUGCCUUUGAUACUGCGAAUCUUGAGUCCGAUAGAGGUGGGUGGAAUUCCUAGUGUAGAGGUGAAAUUCGUAGAUAUUAGGAAGAACACCGGUGGCGAAGGCGGCCCACUGGAUCGGUACUGACGCUGAGGUGCGAAAGCGUGGGGAGCAAACAGG
rnacentral:rRNA from 1 species